ensembl:snoRNA LOC120102691 small nucleolar RNA SNORA17
UCUGCCACCUACAGGUAAAGCAGGUAUUUCUUUUGUGCCACACGUGUCAGUAGGUGGCAUAGAAGAGAGAGGAUGUGUCUCUGAUCAGUAUUCUGACCUUUAAACAUCUGAAUGAUUAGUAGUCUAGCAUU